GAUGAAGAACGUAGCGAAAUGCGAUAAGUAAUGUGAAUUGCAGAAUUCAGUGAAUCAUCGAAUCUUUGAACGCACAUUGCGCCCGCCAGUAUUCUGGCGGGCAUGCCUGUCCGAGCGUCAUUUCAACCCUCGCGCCCAUCUGGGCUGCGGUGUUGGGGACCGGCCUGCCCCCCCGGGGCGCGCCGCCCCCCAAAUUCAGUGGCGGUCUCGCUGCAGCCUCCCUUGCGUAGUAGCACACCUCGCACCGGAGCGCAGCGCGGCCACGCCGUAAAACCCCCGACCCCCAUGAGUUUGACCUCGGAUCAGGUAGGAAUACCCGCUGAACUUAAGAAUAUCAAUAAGCGGAGGA
rnacentral:misc_RNA from 1 species